UACCAGCACCCCGAGUGGUCGGGACGUUUAUUGGGCCUAAAGCAUCCGUAGCCGGUUCUACAAGUCUUCCGUUAAAUCCACCUGCUUAACAGAUGGGCUGCGGAAGAUACUAUAGAGCUAGGAGGCGGGAGAGGCAAGCGGUACUCGAUGGGUAGGGGUAAAAUCCGUUGAUCCAUUGAAGACCACCAGUGGCGAAGGCGGCUUGCCAGAACGCGCUCGACGGUGAGGGACGAAAGCUGGGGGAGCAAACCGG
rnacentral:rRNA from 1 species